UACGUAGGUGGCAAGCGUUGUCCGGAUUUAUUGGGUUUAAAGGGUGCGUAGGCGGCUUUGUAAGUCAGUGGUGAAAUAUGGCAGCUCAACUGUCAGGGUGCCAUUGAUACUGCGGAGCUUGAGUACAGAUGAGGUAGGCGGAAUUGACGGUGUAGCGGUGAAAUGCUUAGAUAUCGUCAAGAACACCGAUAGCGAAGGCAGCCUACUGGGCUGUAACUGACGCUGAGGCACGAAAGUGUGGGGAUCAAACAGG
rnacentral:rRNA from 1 species